AACAGGAUUAGAUACCCUGGUAGUCCACGCCCUAAACGAUGUCAACUAGCUGUUGGGGGUUUGAAUCCUUGGUAGCGUAGCUAACGCGAGAAGUUGACCGCCUGGGGAGUACGGCCGCAAGGUUAAAACUCAAAGGAAUUGACGGGGACCCGCACAAGCGGUGGAUGAUGUGGAUUAAUUCGAUGCAACGCGAAAAACCUUACCUGGUCUUGACAUGUACGGAACUUGCCAGAGAUGGCUUGGUGCUCGAAAGAGAGCCGUAACACAGGUGCUGCAUGGCUGUCGUCAGCUUGUGUCGUGAGAUGUUGGGUUAAGUCCCGCAACGAGCGCAACCCUUGCCAUUAGUUGCUACCAUUCAGUUGAGCACUCUAAUGGGACUGCCGGUGACAAACCGGAGGAAGGUGGGGAUGACGUCAAGUCCUCAUGGCCCUUAUGACCAGGGCUUCACACGUCAUACAAUGGUCGGUACAGAGGGUAGCCAAGCCGCGAGGUGGAGCCAAUCUCAUAAAACCGAUCGUAGUCCGGAUCGCACUCUGCAACUCGAGUGCGUGAAGUCGGAAUCGCUAGUAAUCGCAGAUCAGCAUGCUGCGGUGAAUACGUUCCCGGGUCUUGUACACACCGCCCGUCACACCAUGGGAGUGAGUUUCACCAGAAGUGGGUAGGCUAACCGUAAGGAGGCCGCUUACCACGGUGGGAUUCAUGACUGGGGUGAAGUCGUAACAAGGUAACC
rnacentral:rRNA from 1 species